rnacentral:misc_RNA from 1 species
GAUGAAGAACGUAGCGAAAUGCGAUAACUAAUGUGAAUUGCAGAAUUCAGUGAACCAUCGAGUCUUUGAACGCACAUUGCGCCCCCUGGUAUUCCGGGGGGCAUGCCUGUCCGAGCGUCAUUGCUGCCCUCAAGCACGGCUUGUGUGUUGGGCUCCGUCCCCCCGGGGACGGGCCCGAAAGGCAGCGGCGGCACCGAGUCCGGUCCUCGAGCGUAUGGGGCUUUGUCACCCGCUCUGUAGGCCCGGCCGGCGCCAGCCGACAACCCAUCAUCCUUUUCAGGUUGACCUCGGAUCAGGUAGGGAUACCCGCUGAACUUAAGCAUAUCAAUAAGCGGAGGA